GCCGGAGUGGCGGAAUCGGUAGACGCGCUGGAUUCAAAAUCCAGUUGGGGCAACUCAGUGAGAGUUCGAGUCUCUCCUCCGGCA
rnacentral:tRNA from 1 species